AUGAAGAUCGAUACCGCUCCAGGGCCGGACGGUUGGCCGGUGUCUUUCUUCCGGCGGUUUUGGCCGGCGCUCAAGGACAUUUUCUACGAUAUUAUCAAUGGGUUUACGCUUGGCACAAUAGACAUAUCGCGCCUCAACUUCGGUGUCAUUACCCUCAUCCCUAAAGUCAAGGGGGCGGACUCGAUCAAGCAAUACCGCCCCAUCACCCUUAUUAAUGUGCCUUUAAAAUUAUGCUCCAAAGCUUACACUACGAGACUUGCUCCGGUUGCACAGCGUGUGAUUGACCGUAGCCAGUCGGGUUUUCUCAAAGGGCGUAACAUCCUAGAAGGUCCGGUAGUUUUGCAAGAGAUAGUUCACGAGCUUAAGUGCACGCGUCAGCCGGCCGUGCUCUUCAAGCUCGAUUUCGAGAAAGCCUAUGACCGAGUGAACUGGGAGUUCAUUCGCGAGGUGCUGACUCGGAAGGGAUUCGAGUCGGGUUUCAUUCAUCGCAUCAUGCAACUUGUCUCGGGGGGACAAACUGCGAUUGCUAUCAACGGAGAAGUGGGGAACUUCUUCCGCAACAAACGAGGUCUCAGACAAGGAGAUCCCUCCUCGCCUUUGAUUUUCAACUUUGUUGUUGAUGCUCUCUCGGCCAUGGUGAACAAGGCCAAGAACGCCGGCCAUAUUCGAGGUGUGGUGCCUCACCUUUGCCCUGGUGGGAUCACCCACUUACAAUAUGCAGACGACACUCUGCUGCUCUUCGAGCCAGAUGACCAUAGCAUAGCCUCGAUUAAGCUCAUCCUCCUCUCUUUUGAGAUUAUUUUCGGCUUGAAGAUUAAUUUUUUGAAGAGUGAGGUGAUUGUCGUGGUUCUAAGUCUGACAGUACGGAUGGGGGGUAGGAAUGAAGAGGCAGGUCCUAGCUUUGGAGUAGUUGUUUACGCAAGAGGUUUUACGAGUUCGGGCCCUUCUCUGAGGAAGUAA
rnacentral:rRNA from 1 species